AAGCCCGUGGAUGCGUGACCUGGUGACGUCUUUUCCGACUGAGUUCACGCAGACGAUGAAUUUGGACAGGUUGUCCGCAGAAUCUGCGCAGACAGCAAAGUCUGCGUAUCGUGAACGCACCCAGACUUUGUUGCAGAUUUCCUCAGGUCUGUAAGUGAAAAGAAUGCGCACAUCGCCAUGACAACCGCGCCAGAUUGUGGGUUUGGCAGGAACGUGAAUAUUUUUUUUUAAAACCUCACAAAUAAAAUGUAGUUAAAGUUAGCGUAGAGUGGAAGAAAAAGAUGCAACGUGAAGCAAACGUGAAACUGAAGGAGGUGAUCUCCUCCCUGUGUAAACUACUGGCCGGGCUGGGAGUCGAAGCGGUGCCUAGUCCAGAAACCUUUAGGCGGGGCAAAUUCAACAGGAGAGACUGGACCGUUGAUUUGUGGAAGUUGUUGUACAGUCUUCUAAAGCCCCUGCAUCCAGACUGUCCUUGUGCUUCAAACAAAGCUAAUCUUGUAUUGCAGGUUGAUUUUGUGAAGUCGGUGCUUUUGCACUAUGGCUAUGGAGUCCGGGAGUUGUAUCAGCUCCCAGCUGAUGGAUCGGAGGGGAGUCGAGAGCUCCUGCUAGCCCUCUCCUGGAUCUUUCACAGGAUUAACCUUCUGGAACAGCUGCUGAAUAAAACACGACAGCCUAGGGGAUGAGACAACACUCUGUGUGAAAAUCGGAUUCACUGGAAUACAUUACAUACUGCGUGGCUGAAAUAUUUCAAGGCUGUAGCCAGUCAGCUGAUGAAACAUCUCACGGACAACAAUCUGCUUGAAUCUCUACAGUCUGGUUUCUGGCUGCAUCACAGUACUGAAACUGCUCUGCUCCGGAUUGUGAAUCAUCUCCUGCUCAAUGCUGAUGCUGGUUCUCCCUCUGUGCUUGUCCUCCUUGACCUAACAGCUGCUUUUGAUACCAUAGAUCAUGGCAUUCUUCUUGACCGCCUUCAGAAGUAUGCUGGGAUCUCUGGAACCUCCUGGAUGUCCUCUUACCUAUCUGGACGCAUGAAGUCUGUUUUCUAUGCUGGACGCAGUGGUGUCACAAACCCGGUCACUUGUGGGGUCCCCCAAGGAUCUGUCCUUGGGCCCCUUCUCUUCAAUAUCUACAUGCUUGCCUGGAGUCACCUCAUCCACCAACACAGCCUCAUGUUUCACUCCUAUGCUGACGACACCCAGCUCUACUUAAAACUCGAGCCUGGUAGCCUCUCUGCCAUGGUCCGGCUCUCGGCUUGCAUUCAAGACAUCGAGACCUGGGUGUCUGCCAGUUUUCUUCAGCUGAACACUAGCAAAUCUGAACUCCUUCUAGUAGGUUCUAAAACUCAACUUAAGAACCUACAGUGCCUUGCGAAAGUAUUCGGCCCCCUUUGAACUUUGCGACCUUUUGCCACAUUUCAGGCUUCAAACAUAAAGAUAUGAAACUGUAAUUUUUUGUGAAGAAUCAACAACAAGUGGGACACAAUCAUGAAGUGGAACGAAAUUUAUUGGAUAUUUCAAACUUUUUUAACAAAUAAAAAACUGAAAAAUUGGGCGUGCAAAAUUAUUCAGCCCCCUUAAGUUAAUACUUUGUAGCGCCACCUUUUGCUGCGAUUACAGCUGUAAGUCGCUUGGGGUAUGUCUCUAUCAGUUUUGCACAUCGAGAGACUGAAAUUUUUGCCCAUUCCUCCUUGCAAAACAGCUCGAGCUCAGUGAGGUUGGAUGGAGAGCAUUUGUGAACAGCAGUUUUCAGUUCUUUCCACAGAUUCUCGAUUGGAUUCAGGUCUGGACUUUGACUUGGCCAUUCUAACACCUGGAUAUGUUUAUUUGUGAACCAUUCCAUUGUAGAUUUUGCUUUAUGUUUUGGAUCAUUGUCUUGUUGGAAGACAA